GCGAUGGGCUGUGGCAAUCCACCUUUGCCACAAACCGUAAAGCACCGGAGGGCUUUGGUGAUAGCUGCGGCGCUGAUGCUGGCUCCGGCACCGGCUCCGAUGCCGACUGCUGCUGUA
rnacentral:rRNA from 14 species